GAAGUUGCAGGAGCUUUAUUUUACUUGCACUCUGCUGCUUCUCAACCUAUUUAUCAUAAAGACAUCAAGUCAACAAAUAUACUAUUGGAUGAAAAGUAUAGGGCGAAAGUAGCAGACUUUGGUACAUCAAGAAUGAUUUCCAUUGAUGUUACUCACCUUACUACAGUAGUUCAAGGAACAUUUGGAUACUUGGACCCUGAAUUUUUUCAAACUAGUCAAUUUACAGAAAAAAGUGAUGUCUACAGUUUUGGAGUAGUUCUUGUUGAACUUUUAACAGGACAAAAGCCAGUAACCCUCCUAAGUCAAGAGGAAGCCAAAAGUUUAGCUUCAUACUUCAUCAUGUGUGUGGAGAAAAAUUGUGUGUUUGAUAUUAUUGAUGAAAGAGUGAUGAAGGAAGGGGAGAAUAAUCAUAUAAUGAAAGUUGUCAAUCUUGCAAGUCGAUGUUUAGAGUUGAAUGGAAAGAGACGACCAACUAUGAGGGAAAUCACGUUGGAAUUAGAAGCUAUUCGAAAAUUGGAAAAUGAGUCUAAUGCACGAGAAGGGCAUGAUGAAUUUUUUAGAAGUAAAGACUAUCAAUCUUGGGAUGAUAAUUCUAUUAUCUCAGAAAUAAUGUCAACUUUUGAUCUAAGUAGCAGAAUGACAAUCUUGAAAGAUGUUCAUACUGUUACCAUGUGAUGGAUAAAUAUUCUUAUUUUUGUGUUAAAUAAUUUUGAGGAAAUAAGAAGUAUACAACCUUCCAAAAAUUUCAACCAUUAAAAUUUUGAAGAUUAUACUUUGACAUUGUAAUGAUAUGAUGUUAUAUGAGAUUAUUUUAAAAUAGAACAAUACUCUCUUCAAUUGAUAAAUAUAUUAAUAAACGAAGCCUAUUAGAUUUAUUUGAUAAAUUGUUGAUGUCUUGCAAUAAUUAUAUAAUUAGGAAAAAUUUAAAUUGAAAUCAUAAAAGAGCUAUUUUUCAAUAUAAAAAUUGCUAUCCUAAUAAAAAAGUUUAAUUAUAAUAAACAACCUCAUCAAAUUAAAAAUUUAAUCAAUCAACUAUAUUUAAAAUUAAUAGCAUACAGAUUGGGUUUGUACGUCCACCUUUAUCCUCACAAUUUCAAUAAAAUGGGAGAAAAAAGGUAUAGCAAUUUUUUUUACAAUGAUUAAUUAAUAUAUCAUCGAAUAUUUUAACUGUGCACUGCAUUGAUUUUUGUCCAAUUUUCAAUUAUUUUUGGUUAUUUAUAAGUGUUUUUGGUUGUCAGUUAAGAAGAUCAAAGAAAAUAAUAGACAAUAAAAAACUAUUAAACCAAACAACUCAACUAAUUCGUAGCAUUUAGAAAACAAAUACUUAAAAAAACAUAAUAGAUGAAGAAAAUUGGAACUAGAUUUCCAUGUUUUAAAACUUUGUUUGAUUUCUCUCGUGCAUACUUUUAUAUGUUCUGCAAGAAAGACUUCAAAUCUCUUAAGAUUUUCUUUACUAAAAAAACUCUUAAACAUAAAUCAAUUACCCUAAACAAUAAGACACAUUUUUUUAACUAAGAACAUGUCUGGUUUUAUUCUUUUCAAGAGUGAAAGUUUUAUCACUUUUUUCUUUUCAGGAAGAUCUGUAGCAAACAUAAUUCAAUUACAAAUCAAUAUGCAUGAUAAAUUUGACGACGUUUUUAUAAAUAAUUACUUCAAAGGUUAUAUAAAAAUACCUAUUGUAACCGUAUAAAUAAUUUUAUACCAAAAAUAUGUAAGUAUUAAACUUAAAUAUUUAAUUUUUUUGCCACUAAUUUAGUUUAGUUGAUGAAAGAAGUAUUUUUUUUCUCCUUUAAGUUGUUUUAUUUGUUGACAUCAUCUCUUCGAAUGAAGCUUUGAUCUUAUCAUAACUUCUAGACCUAAAGAAAUAGGAGUACAAUACAAAAUUGGAGACAACUUCAAAAAUAUUGCAAGGAUUAUGGAGAAGGAAAAUUAUAAUAAAUGUUUGUAAAUACUAUGAAUUUUUUAUUUUGUAGACAUUAGUGAGAUAGAGUGUAAAAUGUAAAAUAUGUUUUUUCUUCCUAAAAUCUUUUAUGUUUUGUUAUCUAUUCCAUCUCUAACUUUUAACAAACUUUUACAUAGACAAGGAAAGAGAGAAAUUGAUAACAUAUAUAUUUGAUGGAUACACUUUUGCACAAAAAUAUUAUUUCUUCCAUGAAAGAAAACAAAUACCUAAUUAAUCAUAAUUAAUUCGAGUUAUUAAUGGAAUAAAAAAGUGAGACUAAAAGUAAUUACUAAUUAUAGUAUACAUUGGUUGCCUUACUUCUUUGUUUUGAAUUUUGGUGUUGGUAAGGGAUCUCAAAUAAGUUUGAUUUAUAAUUAACUUAAUCAAUUUAUAUAAAAAAAAUCUAUUAAUUUUAUUAAUUUAUGUUAUUUUUCAUGCCACCAAAAUUUCUUGAAUUCAUCCGUUUAGUUACAUAAUUCAUAAUUAUCUUUUACCUCACAAACUUUUAAGAUGAAAUAUAUUUUAUCCACACGAAAUUGAUUUUUAGGGACAUUUUUUAUAUAAAUAAGAAAAUAUUCUCAGACAUGUGUUUAAUAAAUUUUAAAUAUUUUUCAAUUUAAAUCAAUAAUUCAAGUUAUCAAACUGGUUAUGAGGCCAAACUUGUUAACUUCUCGCAAUAAUUUAGGAAAAGCUUAUAACAAAGAAUACGAUUAACUUUUGAAAAUUAAAGAACUUUCCCAUCAUCAAACAUUUGUCUAUUCUAAGUUAAACAAAGAGACUUUAAUAUUUUGUAAAAUUAAUUACGAAACAACUAAUUAUAUCAAUAUUUUUUAUUAUUAUUUAAUUUAAAGUAUGAAUAUAUGUAUAUAAUAAAAAUAAGAUUAUUAAAGUGAUUUUUUAAUGUCAAAUUAUAAUUUCUUAGAAAAAUUAAAAAAAAAUGAGUAAAGUUAGAAUAUAAUCAAAUACUCAUGGGAAAUUCACUUCAAAUAAAAAUAAAUUUAUUUAUAUAUAUACAAAGAUGUAUGGAGAUAUAUAUCGAUUAAAAAUAACAUUUAUUUAUAUUAUAUAAAUGAAUCAUUUCAUACUUUAUCAAUUGAUUUUGACAAUAUAAUAUCUCAAAUAUAUAUAUAUAUAUAUAUAUAUAUAUAUAUAUAUAUAUAUAUCACGGUAAAAACGUAUUUCAUUUAUGAAGUGACAUAAUUCAAUAUCUUUGUAUUUACUCAGCUUUUGAAAAGCCAAAUAAGAUGCUCUGAAGACCUUUUCCGGGAAGCUGGGAUAUGAAGUGACACUUUUGACUGUUUCAGAGGUCAUCCACUCAAUCAAAGCAAAAGUAAGGAGUGUCAUUUUCGCUUUAAAUAUAGAAUUCAAUGUAGAUUUUGGACUAAACCAACCUGUAUGAUUAUUUUCCAAGACGACUUCAAAUACACUAGAAUGCAAAUUCACAAUCAAUACAUUAUUUUGUUCUUAUAUAUGGAACAACAUUCACAAUCUAAUAUUACCUAUUACAAAUUCUCAAAUUAAGUCAGGUAAUCGAUUAUACCACGUGCAUCAUUUAUAAACAUAUAUUAAUAAAUGAAAAGUUAAUUUUCAAUUAAUAUAAUUAAUAAAUUCUAUCAUAAAAAAAAUAUUUUGAUUUUAACAAGAACCUCAUAAAAUAAAAAGUUUAAUCGAAAAAUUAAAUAAAGAAUGGUUUUUUUAUUUAAAAUAAUAACAUAUAAUGGAUUGGGUUUGUACAAUGACAUUUAUCCUGGCUAUCUUUCUAAUUUUGGUUUCUGUCAACCUCGGGCGCAGUGUAUGUUUCUAUCUUAUUAAUUUGGAUUGUCAAAAUAGCUUUCCUCAUGGUUAGAACUCUUAUACAAACGCGUGGAAAAGUCGCACAAGAAUUCAGAUGAGUAAGACUAACUAGCAACGCUCAGCAGUGAGUCAUUAAGAAGAAACCACGAAAUUAUUGGUUAAUAAUUAGGCAAUGAUGUGAAAAUCAUAGCAAUAAUAUAAAUACACAUCUUGGUAGAAGUUGGAAGCCUGCACACACACCUCUUGAAUCUUGAAGCCCAGCAAACCACAAUGAUUCUGAAAUUGGUAAGCCAUUUCAUCAUUUUGGUAAUAUGGUUUAUACAUGUACAGGUAUCUGCACAAGAUUACCCACAUGCACCUGUAGCAAAGCCUGGCUGUGAUUCGCAGUGUGGAGAUAUUCAAAUUCCCUUUCCGUUUGGAAUGAAUGCUUCAGAAUGCUACGCAGGGAAAUGGUUUGAAAUAGAAUGCAGAAACACUUCCACAUAUCAAACACCUUACCUCAAGUCAAUAGGACUGCAAGUCACAUCCAUUUAUGUCGAAGAAGGCACGGUUACUAUCAACAAUCCCAUUUACCGUAACAACUGCGGAACCAAAGAUCCUACGCCGGUGAACCGGUCGCUGGAAGGAAGCCCUUUCGUGUAUUCGCAGGAACACAACAAAUUUGUGGCCGCAGGUUGCGAUAUAAUUACCUUUUUGCAGGUGAAUGGGUCAGAAGGUAGUGGUUGUGUGUCCAUCUGCGACGAGGGCAUCAAGGUGGAUGAUAUCGGGAAAAUGAAGCUUAAAAACAGUGAUUGUAUGGGAAGUCCUGCUGUCAGAAUUCCCUGCCACCGUAUCUUAAGGAAUACAACACUGAAGUAAAAGGUUUCAAGGAGAAUGAAACGGAUAGUGAGUGUAGUUAUGCCAUGGUUGUACAGGAAGAAGAAGUGAGCCCAUUUUCACGGGCCUAUUAUACUCGCAAAAAAGGAGGCUACUACUUUCCUGUGAAUGGUGAGAUGAAGGAUUUGGAUGUGGUACCUGUGGUGCUUGAAUGGGAGAUUCUCAACAACUUAAACCUUAAACUUCCUCUGGAUGAUCUCUCCCACUGUUUUGACACUAAUAUUACUUCUUCACGUCGUUCCGGUAAGAGAUGUUCCUGCAUAUACGGUUACCGUUACCCUACCAAUCCCUAUGUUGAAGGAGGUUGUUCAGGUAAAUAUAUAAUUUCAACUCUACCUAAUUAUUAUUAUACUUAUUACUUACUGUAGUUAAAAAGGUUUCUUUUUGUAUGAUAAACCUCCAGGCCUCUAAUUUUUCUUUUUUACAUGCUUAAAAGCCACUUAUCAAAAUAAAAACAAUAGCAGACUUCAUUAAAAAAAUACAAUCAUCAAAAUAUUGCCGAUAAAAGUCAAAUUGUAAGAAAAUAAAAAAGAAAAAUUAAUAUUAUAAAUAUAUAUAUAUAUAUAUAUAUAUAUAUAUAUAUAUGUGUGUGUAUGUGUGUGGUUUUUUUAGUUGAUAGUGUAUCAAGUUUUAGGUUAAAAAAAGUUUCUAUUAAAAUAAAAAUCAACUUUAAAUCCAAAAGUAUUUUAAUAAUUUUGAAAUUUAAUUUAAAAUAAAAAAAAAUAGUUAUUUAUUAUUUUGGUCCACAUAGUUAUUUUCUUUUAGUUUUUUUUAUUUUAAAAAAUAACUAUAUUUUAUUUUAUUUUUUAUUUUAAAAAACAACUAAUUUUAAAAAAUAUAUAAUAAAAAAUAAUAAAUUCACCAUGAUAAAUAAUUACCUUUUACUUUUUUAUUUUAAAUUAAAUUUUAAAAUUGUUAAAAUAUUCUGUGAUUUAAAGUUAGUUUUUAUUUUAGUAAAGACUUUUUUUAACCUAAAAUUUGAUAUAUUUUGCUAAAAUAUAUCAACUAAAAACAUUUAUGUAAAUUAAAAAACCUAUAUAUAUCAAAUAAUAUUACUAAAUAAUAUUAUUUUCUUUAACUAUAUUUCCUGGUUCGAGAUACAGAAUAGUCUCAUUUAUAUAAAUCUUACUAUAUAUCUUAUUUGAUUUAAAGACGUUUGGAGAAAAUAAUAACAUUUAUUUAAAAUUGUGUAUAUCAUAGUUGAAAUAUCUGAGAAUAUCCAUAUAUUUUUUAUUAAAAUUAUAAAACAACCAACAAGCCAUUUACACUAUAUAAUCAUAUUGUAGUUAAUUAAAAAAAUUACAACUCUUUUAUUUUCUCAAUUGUGUCCUAUUUCUUAUAUUUUUCUUCAAUAAAAUCAUAUAUAAAUAUUUUAAACUAUAUUUAUCACAUUUCAGAUUAUUAUCAAUUCAACCGGAAUUCGCUGAGUCACGUGACAAUAUCUAUCAUAAAAGGUAUGUAUGAAGUAUGAAUAUGAAGUUGUUAAUAAUUUAUAUGAUUAGGAAUAAUUAUAUUAACUAGUGUAAACACAUAAUAUGUAGGCACGGUCAUGAAUGUGUGUGUGUAUAUUUUAAAUGCAUAUAAUAUUAUAUUGGUAGAUAAUAAUAUUUUAAUUUGAGUAAAUUAAUAUAUGAAAUAAAUUUAUAUUUUAUUAUGAACAAACUAUAAUAUUUAUUGGUAUACAUAUAUUUAAAAUGAACUUGAACUCUGCUGCAACGUUUACAAAUAAUUACUUUUGAUAAUGAAAAAAUUAAUGUUUGCUUAAGUGACAAUUGUUCAAUAAAUGUCAGUGUUAGAACAAUAUUUCCUAUUUUAGAAAUGUUAAUUGUUUUUUGUCUAUCACUUUUUAUUUACUGUAAAUAGUUCUUGUUGCCUUUGUUGUAUAGUUAUUCUUCUUCUAUUUGCAAUAUUUACUCUUCAUCUUUGCCUUUAUUGAUGCUGUGUUAAUAUGUUGUCAUUUAUCAAAAUGCAUAAUUAAAUUAAUUUUUAAAUUUUAAAGAAAGAACUCAUAUAAUAUAUAUAUAUAUAUAUAUAUAUAUAUAUAUAUAUAUAUAUAUAUAUAUAUAUAUAUUGUAUCAAAUACAAGAAAUUUUUCAUAUCUCAUUAAUAAUUCAUAAUAGAUUACAUGCAUUAAUCCCUUAUUCUACUCAAACACAAGCAAUAAAUUAUGGUCAUUAAUUUCAAAUUCUAUUUUACUUCGCAUAGCUUACCUGAAGUACAUAAUUACAUAAUAAUAUUUUAAUUUCUCUUUGAUAAAAACAUUCAAUAAAAACGGAUUGACUUUCAUUUGAGCAAGAAAUUUGCACCUGAGUGGAAAUAAGAAUAAGCUUGCUUAUCUACUUUGUUUUGGCUACAAUAAAAUUUGUCUCUUUGAUUUUGUUUGAGUGAAAAUUGUAUUACUAACACUCUCGCUUGAGUGAAAAAUUUGUCAUCUUAGAUUACACAUCAGCACCAUCACACUUUUACUUAAGCCAAAAAACAUCACUUGAACAAAAAUUCACCAUUUUGAAACAUUUCGCAUUUGAAUUUUUUUUGCCUAAGCAAGAAGGAUUUACUUAAACAAAAAUAAGCCCGAGAAACACCUCUCCUCUCAAGAGAGGAAAAAUCCAUUUUUUCCCAAACAAAGAAGUUCUCUACUUCGUCAUGUAUUAUCAACAAACAAUUAAACAAUGACUUAAACAUCCACAGCAAUACAAAAUCAAGGUUUCAAACAAAUAAUACACAUAAAAAUUACUAAGACAUUUGCAUAUCAUACAUUCCAUUUAUUAUUUUUAAAUGUUAACAAAAUAGUUUGAGUUGUAUAAUUUCAUUAUAUAUAUACACAAAUGAAUGAAGAAUAUUAGGUUUUUACAUAUGUUGGUUUAAUCAUAAUUGUUAUGCUUUCUAAUUAAUGAUUAAAGACUUAUUUUAAAGUUUUGAUGUGGUAAAAUAUGUAGGAGUUUCUACAAGUUUUGGAUCUAUUAUUUUACUUCUUAUUUUAUGGCGGGUGUUCAAGGUUACAAAAAAAACUAUAGUGAAGAAAUACAGAGAAAAAUUGUUCAAAAGAAAUGGAGGGUUAUUGUUACAACAAAAAUUGUCUUCUGGUGAAGUUAAUGUGGAUAAAGUUAAACUCUUCAGUUUAAAAGAAUUGGAGAAGGCCACUGAUAACUUUAAUACAAAUAGAGUACUUGGAAAAGGAGGUCAAGCUACUGUUUACAAAGGCAUGUUGAUAGAUGGAACAAUNAUUGCAGUGAAAAAAUUUAAGGUCCAAGGAAAGAUUGAAGAAUUUAUCAAUGAAUUUGUCAUUCUUUCACAAAUUAACCAUAGGAACGUGGUUAAGUUNUUAGGAAGUUGUUUGGAGACUAAAAUUCCUUUGCUUGUCUAUGAAUUCAUACCUAAUGGUAAUCUUUUUGAGUACUUGCAUCAACAAAAUGAGGAUAUGCCAUUGACUUGGGACAUGCGUUUGAGAAUUGCCAUUGAAGUUGCAGGAGCUUUAUUUUACUUGCACUCUGCUGCUUCUCAACCUAUUUAUCAUAAAGACAUCAAGUCAACAAAUAUAUUGUUGGAUGAAAAGUAUAGGGCAAAGGUUGCAGACUUUGGUACAUCAAGAAUGAUUUCCAUUGAUGUUACUCACCUUACUACAGUAGUUCAAGGAACAUUUGGAUACUUGGACCCUGAAUUUUUUCAAACUAGUCAAUUCACAGAAAAAAGUGAUGUCUACAGUUUUGGAGUAGUUCUUGUUGAACUUUUAACAGGACAAAAGCCAAUAACCCUUCUAAGUCAAGAGGAAGCCAAAAGUUUAGCUUCGUAUUUCAUCAUGUGUGUGGAGGAAAAUUGUGUGUUUGAUAUUAUUGAUGAAAGAGUGAUGAAGGAAGGGGAGAAAUGUCAUAUCAUGAAAGUUGUCAAUCUUGCAAGUCAAUGUUUAGAGUUGAACGGAAAGAGGAGACCAACUAUGAGGGAAAUCACGUUAGAAUUAGAAGGUAUUCGAAAGUUGAAAAAAGAGUCUAAUGCACAAGAAGGACAUGAUGAUUUUGUUAGAAGUGAAGACUAUCAAUCUUUGGAUGAUCAAUCUAUUAUCUCAGAAAUAAUGUCAACUUUUGAUUUAAGUAGCAGAACAACAAUCUUGAAAGAUGUUCAUAUUGUUACCAUGUGAUGGGUAAGUAUUCUUAUUUUUGUGUUAAGUAAUUUUGGAUAAAUAAAAAGUAUAAAUCUUCC
rnacentral:lncRNA from 1 species